AGAACGAACGCUGGCGGCAUGCCUAAUACAUGCAAGUCGAACGAACUCUUCGGAGUUAGUGGCGCACGGGUGCGUAACGCGUGGGAAUCUGCCCCUUGGUUCGGAAUAACAGUUGGAAACGACUGCUAAUACCGGAUGAUGACGAAAGUCCAAAGAUUUAUCGCCAAGGGAUGAGCCCGCGUAGGAUUAGCUAGUUGGUGAGGUAAAGGCUCACCAAGGCAACGAUCCUUAGCUGGUCUGAGAGGAUGAUCAGCCACACUGGGACUGAGACACGGCCCAGACUCCUACGGGAGCAGCAGUAGGAAUAUGGACAAUGGGCGAAAGCCUGAUCCAGCAAUGCCGCGUGAGUGAUGAAGGCCUUAGGGUUGUAAAGCUCUUUACCGAGAUGAUAAUGACAGUAGUAGGAGAAUAACGCCCGGACUAACUCCGUGCCAGACACGU
rnacentral:rRNA from 1 species